UACAUCCUGCAAUGUACGUUUUGAUUAUCUGUUGUUUUGAACCAAUAACAAUGUCUUGGGAGAUUCAAAUUGAACUGUAGCUGACCAGCCCUAUCCAUUGGAUGCGGGGACUUCAAAAACAGUUUUGCGAUCACCCACCUGCUACGCAGGUUCGAAGGCAAUGUAAUCAGACGGCAUAUGCGGGACUUUU
rfam:Paenibacillus sp. TI45-13ar contig00032, whole genome shotgun sequence.